rnacentral:rRNA from 1 species
AAAGAAGUUACUCAUAAUGCCGAUAAUGGAUGCCUAGGAGGCUUUGGCCGAAGAAGGACGCAUAUGACGGCGAUACUCGUCGGGUAGGUGUCAUAAACCUAUAAUCCGGCGGUUUCCGAAUCGAGUAAUCGGUCCAGCUUUGCUGGACGGCCAAAUAUAAAAAUAUGAUCGUAAGAUUGUAUAUAGUGUUUGGCGGGCAACGGCGUGAACUGAAACAUCUAAGUAACGCCAGGAAAAAAAAUCGUAAGAGAUUUCCCGAGUAGCGGCGAGCGAAAAGGAAACAGCCUAAACUUGUCCGAAGGACAAGUACUUUGAACAAUGGACAAAGAACUAAGAACAAAAGAGGAAAAAUUAAUUCCUUAAUGUUCUAAGUUCAAGGUUCUAAGUUCAUAGUCCUUGCCCUUUGGGCAAGGGUUGCAGGGCAGACGAUAUUCGAUGUGUCAAAGGUAGCAGAAGAACCCGGAAUGGUUCCCCAAAGAAAGUGAAAGGCUUGUAUGCAAAAUCUGCGACACCGAUAGUCUGUUCCUAAGUACCAUGGGACACGUAACCCUGUGGGAAUCUGGGGCGCCCACGCUCCAAGGCUAAAUACCAAAGUCUACCGAUAGUGAACUAGUACCGUGAGGGAAAGGUGAAAAGCACCCCGGGAGGGGAAUGAAAUAGAACUGAAAUUGUCGGCUAACAAGCAGACGAAGCUUGUGCUUUGCACAAGCACUUUGAACCGAGAACUAAGAACCGAGAACAGAAAGGGAAAUUCCUUAUUUGUUCUUUGUUCUGAGUUCAUUGUUCAUAGUGCUCGCGCAGAGCGCGAGUGACGUCGUGCCUAUUGAAGAAUGAACCGGUGAGUUAUUGUACUUUUCAAGUCUAAACACGUUAAACGUGCGUAGGCGUAGUGAAAGCAAGCCCUAACCGGGCUAUUAGAAAAGUGCAUUAGACCCGAAACCGGGUGAGCUAACCUUGGGCAGGGUGAACCCCGAUGAAAAUCGGGGGGAGGCCCGAACUCGUAUCCGUAGCAAUGGGUUGAGAUGACCUGAGGUUAGGGGCAAUAUGCCAAUCGAACCCGGAGAUAGCUGGUUCUCCCCGAAAUAUAUUUAGGUAUAGCGCCUGUUUAAAACUCUUAGGGGUAGAGCACUGAAUGGUUUGCGGCGACGCAAGUUGUUGUAACCAAUCAAACUCCGAAUACUAAGAGUCUCUUUGCAGGUAGUCAGUCUUGUCGGGCUAAGCUGAUGAGACGAAAGGGAAACAGCCCAGACUCCCAUCUAAGGCCUCAAAAUAAAAGCUAAGUUUUGAAGGAAGUCAAGUUUCAUAGACACCCAGGAGGUUGGCUUAGAAGCAGCCAUCCUUUAAAGAAAGCGUAACAGCUCACUGGCGGACGGAAUUUGGCGCCGAAAAUGUACCGAGGAUUAAGCUUUUUGCCGAAGAUGGAGACUUCCCGUAAUUUAUUACGGGAUUUGGUAGGGGAGCGUUUUUAGUGCAGUGAAGCUGAGUUGUAAAGCUUGGUGGAGCGCUAAGAAGUGAGAAUGCCGGUAUGAGUAGCGUAAUGUCGAUGAGAAGUCGGCACGCCGAAAGCCCAAGGUUUCCUCCGCAAUGUAAGUCAGCGGAGGGUUAGUCGGCCCUAAGGGUAUUCCUCGUUAAAGGGGGGUAACCCGAUGGACAAGUCGUUAAAAUUCGACUACACAGGGAAGUGCGUUAUCACUCAAGGAUUGACCAGAGUGGAAGAGAGAUGUCCCGCCACGGCGGGAUCUAAGUCAUAAGGCAGUUUAGGUUGGAAAAUCCGCCUGAACGUUUAACCGAAUGACAAUGGAAAGUUCUGACCACGGUUAGGACAAUAUUUUGCCUUUCAGUCUGCAAGAAAAGGUUCGUGAGAAGUGCUUUUUUGUUCCGUACCGCAUAACCGACACAGGUGGGCUGGUUGAGAAAACUAAGGCGAUCGGGAGAAGGAUGAUCAAGGAACUCGGCAAAAAAACUGGGCGUAACCUAUGGGAGAUGCCCUGCCGCAUUCAUGCGCAAGCACUGAACGUGGCCGCAGCGAAAGUUUAUUUAGCGACUGUUUAUCUAAAACACAGGUCCCUGCAAAGCCGAAAGGCAAAGUAUAGGGGCUGACACCUGCCCAGUGCUGGUAAGUUAACUACCGAGGGUGAAGUUCGUAAGAAUCAGCUCAUGGUACAAGCUCCAGUAAACGGCAGCAGUAACUAUGAGAAAGUCGUAGUUGUAAAAGUCGACUAAAUGCUGGAACACCCGUAUUACCGUAACAAACGGUUGAAGUAUCUGUUGCUACCAUAUAUAAUGGUAAUAAUGCAAACAGUGCGGACAAUCAGCAGGAAAGACUUGAGUGAAAGCAAAAUAGGUUUUUUUCU